GACGAACGCUGGCGGCGUGCUUAACACAUGCAAGUCGAACGGAAAGGCCCCUUUGGGGGUACUCGAGUGGCGAACGGGUGAGUAACACGUGAGUAACCUGCCCUUGACUUCGGGAUAACUUCAGGAAACUGGGGCUAAUACCGGAUAGGAAUCCUUGCUGCAUGGUGGGGGUUGGAAAGCUUCGGCGGUUUUGGAUGGACUCGCGGCUUAUCAGCUUGUUGGUGGGGUAGUGGCUUACCAAGGCUUUGACGGGUAGCCGGCCUGAGAGGGCGACCGGCCACAUUGGGCCUGAGGUACGGCCCAGACUCCUACGGGGGGCAGCAGGGGGGAAUUUUGCACAAUGGGCGGAAGCCUGAUGCAGCAACCCCGGGUGCGGGAUAACGGCCUUCGGGUUUUAAACCACUUUCAACGGGGGCGAACCUUUUGGGGGCGGAACCUGCAAAAAAAGCACCGGCUAACUCCGG
rnacentral:rRNA from 1 species